UACGGGGGGGGCAAGCGUUGUUCGGAAUUACUGGGCGUAAAGGGCUCGUAGGUGGCCAACUAAGUCGGACGUGAAAUCCCUCGGCUCAACCGGGGAACUGCGUCCGAUACUGGUGGGCUCGAAUCCGGGAGAGGGAUGUGGAAUUCCAGGUGUAGCGGUGAAAUGCGUAGAGAUCGUAAGGAAGACCAGUGGCGAAGGCGGGUCUCUGGACAGUUCCUGACACUGAGGCACGAAGGCCAGGGGAGCAAACGGG
rnacentral:rRNA from 1 species